UAGUCCACGCCGUAAACGAUGUCUACUAGCCGUUGGGAGACUUGAUUUCUUAGUGGCGCAGCUAACGCAAUAAGUAGACCGCCUGGGGAGUACGGCCGCAAGGUUAAAGCUUAAAUGAAUUGACGGGGGCCCGCACAGGCGGUGGAGCGUGUGGUUUAAUUCGAAGCAACGCGCAGAACCUUACCAACCCUUGACAUGUGUAUCGAGAUUUCUGGAGACAGAUUUCGUCAGUUCGGCUGGAUACAACACAGGUGCUGCAUGGCUGUCGUCAGCUCGUGUCGUGAGAUGUUCGGUUAAGUCCGGCAACGAGCGCAACCCACGUCCUUAGUUGCCAGCAGGUUAAGCUGGGCACUCUAAGGAAACUGCCCGUGAUAAGCGGGAGGAAGGUGUGGAUGACGUCAAGUCCUCAUGGCCCUUACGGGUUGGGCUACACACGUGCUACAAUGGCAGUGACAAUGGGUUAAUCCCAAAAAACUGUCUCAGUUCGGAUUGGGGUCUGCAACUCGACCCC
rnacentral:rRNA from 1 species